rnacentral:rRNA from 1 species
AUGAGACUCCAUUACUGUUCGCUCACCGUCGUCCUGCUCCCUUUCCUCCUCGCCUCAGCCACCGAUUUCGAUUUCUUCUACCAUGUCCAGAAGUGGCCCGGCUCGUUCUGCGACACGACGGGCGGCUGCUGCUUCCCCGGCAACGUGAAGCCGGCGGCGGACUUCGGCAUCCACGGCCUGUGGCCCAACUACGCCGCGUGCCGCCCCGCCGGCGAGACCAACAGGACCAGGUGCUGGCCGGACUUCUGCAACGCCACCAACACCUUCGCCCCGUCGCUGAUCAGCGACCUGAAGAGCGACAUGGACCGGAACUGGGGGACGCUGUCGUGCAGGAGCAACGACAGCACGGCCUUCUGGAGCCACGAGUGGAGCAGGCACGGCACCUGCUCCAACAUGGACCAGCACGCCUACUUCCUCGCGGCGCUCCGGUACAAGGCCCGCUUCAACCUCACCCGCAUCCUCCUCGACUCCGGGAUCGUGCCGUCGGAGGAGAGGACGUACUGCGUGGGCAGCAUCCGGGACGCCAUCGGGGAGGCGACGGGGUCGGCGCCCGGCAUCGAGUGCAACCGGAACGCCCGCAACGAGACGCAGCUGUACCAGGUGUACCAGUGCGUCGACCUCGCCGGCACCGGCCCCAUCCCCUGCCCGGCGGUGCCGAUGCAGGGCCGCUGCACCGACCAGGUCAAGUUCCCCGCGUUCUAG